UAACGCGAAGAACCUUACCAAGGCUUGACAUACACCGGAAACGGCCAGAGAUGGUCGCCCCCUUGUGGUCGGUGUACAGGUGGUGCAUGGUUGUCGUCAGCUCGUGUCGUGAGAUGUUGGGUUAAGUCCCGCAACGAGCGCAACCCUCGUUUUAUGUUGCCAGCGCGUUAUGGCGGGGACUCAUAGGAGACUGCCGGGGUCAACUCGGAGGAAGGUGGGGAUGACGUCAAAUCAUCAUGCCCCUUAUGUCUUGGGCUUCACGCAUGCUACAAUGGCCGGUACAAAGGGCUGCAAUACCGUAGGUGGAGCGAAUCCCAAAAAGCCGGUCUCAGUUCGGAUUGAGGUCUGCAACUCGACCUCAUGAAGUCGGAGUCGCUAGUAAUCGCAGAUCAGCA
rnacentral:rRNA from 1 species